CCUACGGGUGGCAGCAGUGGGGAAUAUUGCACAAUGGGGGAAACCCUGAUGCAGCGAUGCCGCGUGAGUGAAGAAGUAAUUCGUUAUGUAAAGCUCUAUCAGCAGGGAAGAAAAUGACGGUACCUGAGUAAGAAGCCCCGGCUAACUACGUGCCAGCAGCCGCGGUAAUACGGAGGGGGCAAGCGUUAUCCGGAUUUACUGGGUGUAAAGGGAGCGUAGACGGCAGAGGAAGUCUGGAGUGAAAGGCGGGGGCUCAACCUCCGGACUGCUCUGGAAACUGUACGGCUGGAGAGCAGGUGAGGUAAGUGGAAUUCCUAGUGUAGCGGUGAAAUGCGUAGAGAUUA
rnacentral:rRNA from 1 species